rnacentral:lncRNA from 1 species
CUUUUCUGGAUAAAUAUCGAAAGAAUUUAUUUUUAUUUUUUUGAAUUAUCGAUAACAUUUUAUCGUUGUAAACAAUAGAAAUAAUAUUAGAUGUAAAGCUGAAACAGCUCUGAAAAGAAAGAAAAGUUUGUAAGUUUGAAAACAUCAGAAACAAAAUGUUAAGUUUUGAAGUAGGCAGUGUUGUGUGGUGUAUCUAAAUCGACCAAUCUCCAAUGACUAAAAGUUGUUCCUUCGUCAUGUGACGUCUCCCCACUGGCAUAAAGCCCAAAGACUGCUUUUCCUAGCGGGGGAGUUACUUGGGUUUGUAAUCAAUCGGUUUGUUAGGUGAAGUGAAGCGUAAGUCGUUCUUUGCUUUUUUAGCCGGGAUGGCGCCAUGAUAGGAUUAUCCACUACGUUACGUUCAUCUAGCAAAGACGUGAUGAACCAGCAUUCGCCCCGUCAGAACAGCCCUAUGGGGUCGCCUAGAUCUCCUCGUAUAGCACUGGCUAAGCUGCAAGGUAAAAUGUAUUUACCCAAACUACAACUGAGGAGACGUCACACCGCUAACAUACCCGAAACGAACGAUGGUGAGUAUUUUCUCUGUUUAUAAAAACAUUAACCCAACCGGAUAUAUGCUGAUGUUGUUCCAAUUAUAAACUCGUGUGUAAUUAGAAGUUCGCCGCUUAUGUGUGCCAAUGUCAAGAUGUACGGGAAUUAUAACUCAUAGUUUUCAGUAUAUAUAGCAUUUAUACUUUUGACGAAGUUUUUAAACCUGCUGUUGAUGAAAAGAUGCAAAAAUCGAGAUGAAUAGUAUAGUUAAAAACGUUAUCGUGGAUUUAAUUUUAUUUAUUUUUGCUAGAUUAUGAUCCGCAUUCAUAAUAUAGGAAGUUAUUAUAGGCUUUGCUAUCUUUGUUACUUUAUCGGAGCAAUUAAAGAAAAAAAAAAAAUCGAAUUUUAGAUGCAUACAUUUACGUAAUUUAUAAAUUAAUAAUAAUAAAAAUGUUUUUAAUUAAAAUUUUUUAAUAUAUAAUAAA